AAGUCGUAACAAGGUUUCCGUAGGUGAACCUGCGGAAGGAUCAUUACCGAAGUACAGGCCCUCUCGUAGGGCUAAACUUCCACCCUUUGUUAACUACACUUUGUUGCUUUGGCGAGACGCCAUCGGGCCACCGGCUUCGGCUGGUGCGCGCUCGCCAGAGAAAACCCAAACCCAAACCAUUUAUAGUGUUGUCUGAAAACCAAGUUUAAUUAUUAAAACUUUCAACAACGGAUCUCUUGGCUCUG
rnacentral:misc_RNA from 1 species